rnacentral:rRNA from 1 species
UACGUAGGGUGCGAGCGUUAAUCGGAAUUACUGGGCGUAAAGCGUGCGCAGGCGGUUUUGAAAGUCAGAUGUGAAAUCCCCGGGCUCAACUUGGGAACUGCGUUUGAAACUCCAAAGCUAGAGUAUAGGAGAGGGGGGUAGAAUUCCACGUGUAGCAGUGAAAUGCGUAGAGAUGUGGAGGAAUACCAAUGGCGAAGGCAGCCCCCUGGCCUAAUACUGACGCUCAUGCACGAAAGCGUGGGGAGCAAACAGGAUUAGAAACCCUUGUAGUCC